CCUACGGGUGGCAGCAGUGGGGAAUAUUGGACAAUGGGGGCAACCCUGAUCCAGCCAUGCCGCGUGUGUGAAGAAGGCCCUCGGGUUGUAAAGCACUUUCAGUGAGGAAGAACGCCUGGUGGUUAAUACCCAUCAGGAAAGACAUCACUCACAGAAGAAGCACCGGCUAACUCCGUGCCAGCAGCCGCGGUAAUACGGAGGGUGCGAGCGUUAAUCGGAAUUACUGGGCGUAAAGCGCGCGUAGGUGGCUUGAUAAGCCGGUUGUGAAAGCCCCGGGCUCAACCUGGGAACGGCAUCCGGAACUGUCAAGCUAGAGUGCAGGAGAGGAAGGUAGAAUUCCCGGUGUAGCGGUGAAAUGCGUAGAGAUCGGGAGGAAUACCAGUGGCGAAGGCGGCCUUCUGGACUGACACUGACACUGAGGUGCGAAAGCGUGGGUAGCAAACAGGAUUAGAUAUCCCAGUAGUC
rnacentral:rRNA from 1 species